rnacentral:lncRNA from 1 species
UGCAUUUGUGAAUAGAGAGCAGUGGUUCACCUACCUGGCCAAAAAAGGCAGAAAUGGCAGCACAUCAGGAAUUCCCAGGGGGUGGAGAGGGAGAGCCUUUCCCUGUGUGAGGUGUGUGCUCCUGCCUGGCCAGCGCGAUCUGCUCUGGCCCCAGGGUGAUGAAGUUGUGUGACUGUCACCACACAGUUUGUCAAGGAGAUGCACAUGGAGUGACAAACACUCUGGGGGAGUAUUUGCAGUGAGUCAGCGGGUGCUGGUAUGAUAAAACAGUGCUGUAGUUAAAGUGAGUUUUUUUUAAAAAAUAAAUUUAUGAUGAGCAGAGAAAAAGUCCAGAGCCAUCAGAGAAACAAUUUGUUAUGUUUGACUACUAAUGAAAAAAUGUGGGUUUAUUAAGCUAUUAAAGUGUUUUCAUUUUAAGAACGUGUGAAUUCACUGGGACUCUCUGUUUUCCCCAGGUUUGCUGAGAGGAAACUGAUAAGGGAGUUUUGAAAUAAAGAUAGAAGGAGUCACUGAUAAGCCAGCUAAAUCUCCUUAAAAGCUGAGACAGUGUAUGGAAAGGAGUGGAAGAAAGGGAAGACAUGGACAUGAAGAUGUGAAUAAAUAAAUGCUGCUCCCCUCCCCCCGGCAGGAUGGGAACGCCGAACGCUUGGCCCAUCAAAUUAAACACAGACAGGUUUUCAUUUCCAAGCCCGUGCAUUUGGAGAUGAUGGAUGCAGUGUCCCUCACCAGGCCAUUCACUCACACUGGGUAUGUGAAGAAGUUUAUAUGAAGUUCUUUUACCAAGUUGGCAAUAAAGAGCUGUAAAUCCAUUAUGCA